CUCACAUUCCAGUUAAUUGCUGAUUGAAGCAACAUACAUCAAAGUUGCUGGUGAACGCAGCAGGCCAAGCAGCAUCUAUAGGAAGAGGCGCAGUCGACGUUUCAGGCCGAGACCCUUCGUCAGGACUAACUGAAGGAAGACUAGUUUUCAAGGAGAUGCUGAAGGACUGAACAAACAUGACAGGCAUGACCUUGGGGGCCCUUGGAGAAGAUGAGGAUGUUAGAGCAGGACUUACAUUAAUGGAGAAAAUCCUGUCGCUUGCCUCCAAGGCUUCUAUUGAAACAUGCUGUGCAAUUUUGGAGCCCAGCUGGUGGUUUGUUCCCUCUCAUGAGCUGAACACAGACUCUUAAACCACAAGAAAGGAAUAUCAGCAAUAAACACUAGGUUAAAAGUGAAUUGACUUUACUGAACUGGACAAAGCUCCACAGAUUGACCAGGCCCGGGAAUUCAUUAUUCAGGACUGUGUCAGGGCACAAACACCUUAUUGAAAUAAACAUUAACUGUUCACUCUGAUGUACCUUCUUAAACAUUGUGUAUACUCAUUUUGCUGUAUUUCUUUGAAUUUAACCACAAUAAUGACUUUUUGGGCAAAUUAAAAUAUUCUGGAAUUAAUUGUGAAAUUGAUAUCUUAAAGGCUUUAUUGUAAUGAUGUGAUCAAUGGCAGGAUCAAGUACAGUAUGUUAAAUGACUUCAUGCACUGCUGUAUCUAGACCCAGUUCAAAUAUCAGUAUGAAGGAAACCAUCUUUCCUGAUUAUCAUCCAAAUGCUCUGCUGGCUGUUGCUUGAAGCCAGACACACCAAUGAGGAAAACAUUGAUUUUCUAAGUAUAGACUUCAUUGCUGGUGAUUAUUUUAUAACAGUUGGAUCAUCACUGUACAGCAACAUUAGUUUCAUUUACAAAUGAAAUUACUAUUUAAGUCAGCAGUGGGAACUUAUAUAUUGUUCUGUGUGGGUGGUGUAACACACUGUUCUUUUUGUAUUGCUGUUGAUCUUUUUAGUGUAUGAGGAAACUAUGAGCAAGAUAUUUUCACAUACUAUUGAUGCAUGCUAGAUAAUGAG